rnacentral:rRNA from 1 species
UACGGAGGGUGCGAGCGUUGUCCGGAAUCACUGGGCGUAAAGGGCGCGUAGGUGGCCCGUGGAAGUCUGCGGUGAAAGCCCGGCGCUCAACGCCGGGUCGGCCGUGGAUACUCUCGGGCUUGAGCUUACUAGGGGCAGAUGGAAUUCCGGGUGUAGCGGUGGAAUGCGUAGAGAUCCGGAAGAACACCGGUGGCGAAGGCGGUCUGCUGGGGUAAUGCUGACACUGAUGCGCGACAGCGUGGGGAGCAAACAGG